UCUCUGACAGUCUAGCAGUUAGGACUCUGCACUUUCACUGCCGAGGGCCCAGGUUCAAACCCUGGUCAGGGAA
rnacentral:tRNA from 1 species